UGCCAGACAGCUGCAAGUGGAAUCGGGCAGUCAGCAUUCUCAGUGUGCUAUGUUCCUGAAUGUGCAGCUCACAGAAGGCAGCAUGAAAUGGAUAAGUGCAUACCUGUAGAUGUCAGCUCGAUUUUUUUAUUGGUGCAAAACAUCUGCUGGGAGCGGCAGGCUCUUGGCGGGAAAGGGGACACCCAGUGACACGCGACAUGCCGCCUUGCCAGCCGUGAUUAAGAGGACCAGACAAACCUCGUGUGAGGCAUUUGUAUCUCUGGGAGCCCCUUCCACACCUGCAACAGUGACUCAAGUGACCUGCGGA